rnacentral:rRNA from 1 species
UACGGGGGGGGCAAGCGUUGUUCGGAAUUACUGGGCGUAAAGGGUUUGUAGGUGGCCAACUAAGUCAGACGUGAAAUCCCUCAGCUUAACUGGGGAACUGCGUCUGAUACUGGUUGGCUUGAGUGCAGGAGAGGAAUGCGGAAUUCCAGGUGUAGCGGUGAAAUGCGUAGAUAUCGGGAGGAACACCUGUGGCGAAAGCGGCUCACUGGACCACAACUGACGCUGAGGCGCGAAAGCUAGGGGAGCAAACAGG